AGAUGUGAGGACAAUCUGGCUGCAAGAUCUAUCACCCCAUUGAUUGUUAAGGUUGAUUCAGCUGAUCUGUCUGGCCAAGCAGGUGUCCCCUUCCAAGACUCCAGACACAUCCACUUGAAGCACUGCAUACGGCAGCCUAUCUUUCUUUAAA
rnacentral:snRNA from 1 species